AUACGUAGGGGGCGAGCGUUGUCCGGAAUUAUUGGGCGUAAAGGGUGCGUAGGCGGCUAUUUAAGUCAGAUGUGAAAAGCGUAGGCUCAACCUAUGUUAGCAUAUGAAACUGAGUAGCUUGAGUUAAGGAGAGGAAAGUGGAAUUCCUAGUGUAGCGGUGAAAUGCGUAGAUAUUAGGAGGAAUACCAGUGGCGAAGGCGACUUUCUGGACUUAAACUGACGCUGAGGCACGAAAGCGUGGGUAGCGAACAGGAUUAGAUACCCUGGUAGUCCACGCCGUAAACGAUGAGUGCUAGGUGUCGGGGGUCAAACCUCGGUGCCGCAGCAAACGCAUUAAGCACUCCGCCUGGGGAGUACGUGCGCAAGCAUGAA
rnacentral:rRNA from 1 species